UAAUUCUAUCAUUUAUAGGGAAGUAAAUAAUUAAUUUAGCUUGUUAUAUAUAUACAUUAUUGUUUGUAUUACUUAUGUAUAAGGUAUAAGUACACUAAUACUUCCUUGGAUCACAUGAAGCUACAAUGGGAAGAGGAGCUGGGCUCACGGAUAUUAGAAAUGUCUUGGGGGUUAGCUAUUGGUCCGGUUUAUUCCUCAUCAAUAGGCAUAAGGCAUAUUCCACUGGCCCCAUCUGACAUCAAAUGACAAAUGACAAAUAGUAUUAAGAAUAAUGACCUUCACUCCACUGCUUACUCAACAAGUAAUUCUCCUCAAAUAAAAAGCUAAAAUCUCAAACAGCUAAAAUAUACAUAGUCAAGGCUCAACCAGUAAGUUUGAUAAGAUCUGGCAAACCUUUCUGCUCUUUUUUUCAAAACUGGACAAAUCCCCAUUAAUGUACAGUUGUUUUUUGUCUCUCUUUUUGUGUUGUGUUAGCAUGUGUUUAUGUAUAGGACGGAUGUAAAAUAUUAGAAUUUACAUAUUUGAUAACUUGAAGAGCAGUUUGAUAUCCUAGGUGCAUGUAAAUAAUAACACAAUAGACACCAUGACUGCAGUGAUCUGACGAGUCGGAUCGAGCCAUGUUUCUGCGACAGCUGUCCUUUUGUAUGGCAGCUGUAGUGGGAAUGUGUCACUUGAUUCUUGAUUUGUGAGCAUCUUCUUAUCUACACAUACUUGAAACCUCGUCUUUUGUUUUAGGUGCUGAUACUUGCCUUCCUUUCCACUGGACAGAGUACCAGUGAGGUUGUGGAUCAAAAGUGGAAUUCAUGUUAUAUACUGUGCCCGCCUGGCUUUUAUAAAGUUGGUGGAUGUGAUGACCCAGUCGCAAAGUACAGAUGUGAAGAAUGCAAAAAUAACACAUUCACAACAAUAGAACACUCUUACACAAAAUGCGAGAGGUGCAGCACAUGUGCUCAUAAUGAGGAGACAAUAAAGUCCUGCACCCUUAACAGUAAUGUGGUAUGUGACUGUAUGGAGGGAUUCUACCUCAAGAAAAUGUUUUCUCACGACUCGCGUGAUUGUCGGGAAUGCACGUGUGAAAAGUGUGAAAAGUUGUAUAAUAUUCUUGACUACAGAAGGAAGUGCCAGC